GCUCCUGAAACCCGAGCCCCUCCUUCCAUCCUCCGGGGCGCGCCUGGCAGCUGACAGUGGAGGAGGGGGAAACGGUGGUGGCGGUGGCGUCAUCAGGAGUGGCACCUGGGGGUGGACACGGACCUGGUCAGCAGGAGGCCCCAGACUCCUCGUGCUCCCCAUGUACUUGUCUCAGUGCCGUCACUCACCGUGCCCCCGCAUGUGGCCACCACCACCGGCAGCUCAGCCCUGAGCAGCCUCAGCUUUUGGGACCGACUGACGGGAGCCAAGACUUCUGGGCCAGCUGACUAGCCAGCAGGAGACACGGGGCGUGCAGGCCACUCUAACAGUACAGGGGUGCCAGCAGGGGGACAGUGCUCACCUCCUUGCCCCCUGCGUGUCCCUCCUUCGGCAGCAGAGAAAUCACUUUUUGGUUUAAAGAUGAAAGUUGAAGUCCGGCCGACGCCGUCUCUUGGACGGCAGACCUCGGGGCCCCGGGCAGCGUCACGGAGGCCCUUCUGACGCCUGAUUGCCCCGGCUUGUGUCUCCAGCCAGUCGGACCACAGCCGCACCCCCCUCAGCACCCCACCCUGGCCGUCAGACUGGAGCUCCUCACCCCUCCUUCCGCGGGCAGCGGAGGCUGGACACGCCUCCAGGUUGGGGCUGCAGAGAGCCCCGAGCAGGACAGAGGACAUGGUUUAAAACAGCCCCACGUGGGAUGUGUGGCCUGUGGCCGGAGGGUGUCUGGAGGGUGUGGCCCAUGUCACAGCGCCGUUUGAUGCUCUGCUGUCUCUGUCUUAAAAUCCUUAAUCAUUUUGGGGGCGCCUGGGGGGCUCAUUCGGCUGAGUGUCCAACUUCGGCUGCGGUCAUGAUCUCACGGUCUGUGGGUUCAAGCCCCAC